UUGGUUUUUAUCAUUUUUUUACCUAUUAGUAUUACAUUUUCUAAGAUCCAGUUAUAGGAUUUUUUUUUUUUUGGUGUUUAUUUUCUCGGUAUACCCUCACGCCAUUUGUUACUACGAUACCUUUUCUAUCUAACAAAGUCUCCUUUGAUAAUUCUUAAGCCAAGUAUCACAAUUCUAUUAGUAAGUCUAACCAAACUACAAAAAGCAAUUAAGUUUAAUGGCACAAAUUACAAAAACCAAACACGAUCCUAAUUUAUCCACAAAUUAUACACUCCUUGAUUAUAUGGUGUAUCCAACCAUAUAAGCACCAUUUUUCUCCUUCUUGAAGAAUCAACUUUUGAUAAGAUUGAAAGGUAAACAUCUUGCACAUCUUGGACAGCUGCUUAUCAAAGUCGAUCAGUUUUCCUUCCCUGCAAAAAUUUGAUAUAAUUAUAAAGAAGAGAAAAUGAUAAAAGCGGCUGGUACCAAUCAUGUAAAGAACCAGACAUAUUUAAGUCUCGAAAAAAGGUAUAUCAUUGCUGGUUCUGUUCAAUGUAGUUAAAAGCAUCGUUGAUGUAAUUGAAGCAAUAGCAAUUUCAUGGAUAAUAGAGUUGGUUUAAAUUCUUAUCUAAUUAUUUUUUUUUCUUUCAUUUUUUUUUACUUCAAAAAUAUGUACCAUUAAUCUAUUCUUUGACUCUAAAUUUUAAUUGUGACAUUUGAUUUGCAAUAGAAAAAGAAAACUUUCAUUUUUUUUUUCUUAUCAGAAAAUGUGCAGCAGGAAGAAAUAGCUUCAACGAGCUAAAGUGAUUGCACAAAGAUGACAACCUAACUUCUUUGAUUUGCUUCUGUCAAAUCAGAUUUGCUUUAUAAAACACCCUUUUCACCCUUGAUUUGAGGGUAAAUCAUGUGGAUAUCGGGCUACUGGAGGGAAGAGAGUUUGUAAUAUAAUUUGG